GACGAACGCUGGCGGCGUGCCUAAUACAUGCAAGUAGAACGCUGAAGGAGGAGCUUGCUUCUCUGGAUGAGUUGCGAACGGGUGAGUAACGCGUAGGUAACCUGCCUGGUAGCGGGGGAUAACUAUUGGAAACGAUAGCUAAUACCGCAUAAGAGUAGAUGUUGCAUGACAUUUGCUUAAAAGGUGCAAUUGCAUCACUACCAGAUGGACCUGCGUUGUAUUAGCUAGUUGGUGGGGUAACGGCUCACCAAGGCGACGAUACAUAGCCGACCUGAGAGGGUGAUCGGCACAACUGAGACAGAGACACGGGCCAGACUCCUACGGGAGGCAGCAGAAGGGAAUCUUCGUCAAUGGACGGAAGUCUGACCGAGCAACGCCGCGUGAGUGAAGAAGGUUUUCGGAUCGUAAAGCUCUGUUGUAAGAGAAGAACGAGUGUGAGAGUGGAAAGUUCACACUGUGACGGUAUCUUACCAGAAAGGGACGGCUAACUACGUG
rnacentral:rRNA from 1 species